rnacentral:rRNA from 1 species
UACGAAGGUGGCUAGCGUUGUUCGGAAUUACUGGGCGUAAAGCGCAUGUAGGCGGAUAUUUAAGUCAGGGGUGAAAUCCCGCAGCUCAACUGCGGAACUGCCUUUGAUACUGGGUAUCUUGAGUAUGGAAGAGGUGAGUGGAAUUCCGAGUGUAGAGGUGAAAUUCGUAGAUAUUCGGAGGAACACCAGUGGCGAAGGCGGCUCACUGGUCCAUUACUGACGCUGAGGUGCGAAAGCGUGGGGAGCAAACAGG